GGGAGGGUGGUGGACAGGUUGUUGCAGUUGUCUUCGUGACGGCACACGUGGGUGUAGGAGAGGAGGGAGAGGCCGGGGCCUGCCCUGUGCUCCGUGAUGCGGGCAUCCUGAUUCCCCACCGGGGUGCAGCCCUUGGUCAGGGCCUGCGCUCCUGAGACGGGGAGAGAAAUCCAUCUGAGCCCAUCCUCCAGGAAAACGCCCUCCCAGACAGAAAGAGAGAGUAUGAGCAAAGGAGAGGGGCAGAGAGAGAGAGAGAGAGAGAGA